rnacentral:rRNA from 1 species
UAGGGAAUCUUCGGCAAUGGACGAAAGUCUGACCGAGCAACGCCGCGUGAGUGAAGAAGGUUUUCGGAUCGUAAAACUCUGUUGGUAGAGACGAACGUUGGUGAGAGUGGAAAGCUCAUCAAGUGACGGUAACUACCCAGAAAGGGACGGCUAACUACGUGUCAG